rnacentral:rRNA from 1 species
GACGAACCGUGCGAACGUUGUUCGGAAUCACUGGGCGUAAAGCGCACGUAGGCGGAUUUGCCAGUCAGGGGUGAAAUCCCGGGGCUCAACCUCGGAACUGCCCUUGAUACAGCAAAUCUCGAGUCCGGAAGAGGUGAGUGGAAUUCCUAGUGUAGAGGUGAAAUUCGUAGAUAUUAGGAAGAACACCAGUGGCGAAGGCGGCUCACUGGUCCGGCACUGACGCUGAGGUGCGAAAGCGUGGGGAGCAAACAGG